CCAGACUCCUACGGGAGGCAGCAGUGGGGAAUAUUGCACAAUGGGCGCAAGCCUGAUGCAGCGACGCCGCGUGAGGGAUGGAGGCCUUCGGGUUGUAAACCUCUUUUAUCGGGGAGCAAGCGAGAGUGAGUUUACCCGUUGAAUAAGCACCGGCUAACUACGUGCCAGCAGCCGCGGUAAUACGUAGGGUGCAAGCGUUAUCCGGAAUUAUUGGGCGUAAAGGGCUCGUAGGCGGUUCGUCGCGUCCGGUGUGAAAGUCCAUCGCUUAACGGUGGAUCCGCGCCGGGUACGGGCGGGCUUGAGUGCGGUAGGGGAGACUGGAAUUCCCGGUGUAACGGUGGAAUGUGUAGAUAUCGGGAAGAACACCAAUGGCGAAGGCAGGUCUCUGGGCCGUUACUGACGCUGAGGAGCGAAAGCGUGGGGAGCGAACAGGAUUAGAUACCCUGGUAGUCCACGCCGUAAACGGUGGAUGCUGGAUGUGGGGCCCGUUCCACGGGUUCCGUGUCGGAGCUAACGCGUUAAGCAUCCCGCCUGGGGAGUACGGCCGCAAGGCUAAAACUCAAAGAAAUUGACGGGGGCCCGCACAAGCGGCGGAGCAUGCGGAUUAAUUCGAUGCAACGCGAAGAACCUUACCUGGGCUUGACAUGUUCCCGACGGUCGUAGAGAUACGGCUUCCCUUCGGGGCGGGUUCACAGGUGGUGCAUGGUCGUCGUCAGCUCGUGUCGUGAGAUGUUGGGUUAAGUCCC
rnacentral:rRNA from 1 species